GGGCUGUAGAAAAGGUCAGCUCAUCCUUAGAGGGAGGAAGAGGCCUCUUGGCUAAACAACACGCAUAUGGCAAAGGCAUCGCCACCUCUAUUGUGGCAUUGAACCACUGUACCCA
rnacentral:ncRNA from 1 species